AUGCUUGAGGCUGAAGAAGCCGAAGCUGCGAAAUCCAACAACCAUGGUACGGCAGACGCAUUUAGCAACCAUGGUAGCGGGAACCAAGAUUUCUCCCGUGCCAGAAUCAACAGCGGUGCCAAUUCCGGGGACCGAAUGAAAUACCACACCACCAACAAUCGUGGCGGCCGCACUGUAAAUAACAGUGGUCAUUUCAUUGGUGUGACAAUCUUAGAGCUUGCAGAAACAAUGGGAGCAAGGGUUUAA